CAGAGCGGGGCGCGGUGGAAGGGCUUGGAGGGGAGAUGGAAAGCUCAGAAGGAAAGCUCAGAGAAGGAAAAUUCUCAAAAACUGGAUUAAAUUUAAGGAAGACAACUACAAUUCAACCAUUAGAAAAAGUACACCGCUUUUGCACUCCAAGAACAUCCUACCACAAGUUCUCUGGAACAUAUGGCUAGUUUUCCCAGGCCUUUAACAGAACACAAUGAAAACAGCAUACAAUGAAAAACUAAAAGUUGCCAGGAACAGGAAGGUUUGGCAGAGGUGAUGGAAAACAGAACCAAGGUUACAGAGCGAAUCGAAGGGAAGUGCACAGGAUGGCAGACUGAAAGCAACUGAGGGAAGAGGUGCCCUGCCACCCAAGACCGAGAGCCCUCUGUACGUAAUGGGUGGGGCUACAGGUGCUUCACGGAGC